rnacentral:lncRNA from 1 species
AAAGAAGCACUUAAAGACUAAAAGGAAAAGUUGUUUUGUUCAUCUCUUUUCUCUUUGCCCACAGAACCCAAAGAAAUGGUAUUACCUGGCAAGAGAUCUGCUGUCUUUUAUGAAAAGUCUGAUCA